AGCCCGGGAAUCGGGAUGCAGGUUCAGAGCUCAAUUUCGAAAAAUCUGUGCGCAAAAAUUGCAUGUCCUGUCCAGUAAAGCAAGCGCUGCGAAAAAGACAAUGAGUUCUGGUUGAAGAGACAGAUACUUUCGAUGCAAGAUGUGUUGGAAAUAAAGCAGACGUAUCUACUUAACCCCACGUACAGCAACGUGACCCAGAGCUCAGCUGCCAGUACUCGGCUUGCAGUCCUCCUUCAGAGCUCAGCAGCGGCUCUCUGUUUGCACAGCAUUUCCAACAGCUCCUUGGAUAUGCCUCUUGUUACUGGAAUGUGUGUGUGUGAUGUGUGUCUUUUCCUGCGUUGUGUCCUGCAUCCCCUUGGUAACCUUAGCGGUUAGUCCUCCUGAAGCUGCUUCUAUUGCUUUGAUGGAGUUCUUGCAGUUGCAAGAGAAGUACCCAAGGCUUUGAGGAUGCAGAUUUUUCCUUUUCCACAUUGUCUUCGCCCUCUUCAUCACUUAAAACUUAACUAUGAAAGUGUCCAUGAGUAGCUUAUUGGAACCGUCCUACACAAUGCAGUGUCACAGUUGUGAUAUUUUGGAGAACAAGGAGUCCAGUGCCCUUCCAGUUUUCAUCAAAAUUUCAUCUUGUGUGCAAAAAGUUUAAAUAUGGGGUGGAGGGAACAUCCAGGAGAGCGAAAAAAAGAGGGAGGUAGGCAUCACUUUUCCUAACCUCUGAGUACAAAUUCUCGCUCUAAUGUGUCUGGGUCCAGCUCUCCUCAUAUCUGAAAAUGAUCGUUGCAUGGUCGUCCUGGUUAAGUUUUUGGAUUUAAUGGAGGUCUCGUAUGUUAUUUCUAUCGAAUUGAGUAGGGGACCCAAGGCGUGGAAAAAAAGUAAAGAAAAACAGAGCACGCAGAGCUGGGACAAUGGACAUCAAUUCAUUGUGGACAAUGAAUUGGGGGAGCUAGACUGCUUGAAUUUCAGGGCACGUCCACAGGCAGCUUGGGCAGUUAGGAGACCACGGCGGACUCGCCAGACACUCAAAACAGGAGCUGUGAGAAAAAUUACAUUUUCGGGUGGGAAACACGGAGACCCAAAGUUGAGAAAGUGUCUUCCUCAAGUUCUCUGUCUCAAUUCACUCAAGCAGAAUUAAUAACCUGUGAGAUAAAUUACUGGAGAUGGGUGAAGACUCACCCCCAAACAGCGUGUCCUACAUUAUCAAGUGCAACUGUUUUAGGGAGAGCUUGAUGUUGUUGUUUAGGCUUUACCAGACCUUCCGAUGCUUGGGAAUCGAAAUUGUGACUUUAGACACAAACACAACUUGAUAUGGGUGUUUAGGAUGACAGCAAAAUAUUUCAGACGAUGCGUUCCGGACAAGGAGUGUAUGUUUUGGACCGGGCAAGGUGGAGAGGAAUGAAAUUUCAGGAAAAAAAAACAAGUGGAACAUACAGAUCAACUGAUGGAAAGCACACCAUGGCAAAAAAAAAAAAAAGUAGAACGAAAGUUUCCAAGUGACAGCAAUCGUACUGUCAACUUGUUUACUCAAGAUCUUGGUUUAGAAGUUCACCAUACAUUAUUCAACAAAUUAGCCAAGUAAACACAGAUAAAAAGCAACACAAAAUGAGGUACAGCUGUUUCUGGAGAUCAGGGGAUCAUAACAGGACCAAACUUUAAUUUUUGCUUGACACGCUCUUGUUUGUGUAUCUUCAUAAUAGCCUUAAAGUUAUCAACAGGGCAGAGGCUGGUUACAGUUUACAGCUUCUUCCACAUCAGACAUUAUCGCAGAUCUAAUUUUCAAUGACUGUACAAGGUACCAACUGCAGAAUGAGAACAGCUGCAAGAAGUUUUGAAAUUUGCUUGCUAGACCCAAACUGCAGAAGGGCAGAAGUGAAACACAAGUCACUCUUUUAUGGAGGAUUCUACUUGCCACAAGAGAUCAUGGAAGAAAGAGAUUUAAAGGCACUGAGCUAACCUUACAAGACAACACACAAUUCAUGACCAUUGAUCCAGCAUCGUCUAUUCAGCAAAUAUCAUGUGAACUCCAGACCAUGCAUUCCAACUACCAGCAAAUAAUUGAAGAAAUCAAAAUGCUCAUCAGUCUAUGUGACAUAAUGUGCUUGUACUGUUGGCUAUAGAAACAGAAAUUAAAUGAGUAAUGCAUCUCUGAAAUAAUGACAAAAAGUAAAGAUCCUACCUGCCUCAGCAGAUGCUGUAGCUAAGCAUAUUUCAAGUAUGCCAUGGUAUAUGCUCUUUAAGUUUCAUUUAUUUUGGGUAGAGUCUGAUUGGGCAGUCACAAAUAUAAUCACUUAGUCAGGAACCCUUCCAUCAACCUGCAUUUUUUAAUUGAAAAAAUUAUUUAGCAGAAAUAGGUAAACCAAAAAUGUAUUCUGUCCAGAAACAUGCAGUGUUCAUAGUGGGGAGGGGCCAGCUACAUCAUAGAAGAUGACAUAUUUCGCUGUACAAGUUAAUGUAUGAUUCUAAAACACUUGGUCUUAGAGUCCAUAUAGCCUAUAUGGGCAAACAAAAUGUCUUUAGAACCAGCUAUAGCACUAUAACUAUGUCAUUCACUUUAACAGACCAACUGUACUGUAAUACAAAUAAUGGAAAACUUAGAAGGACAAUCUUUUUUUGUAGUUCAGCAAAGCCUUUGGUGCAGUUGAGCAUGCCUCUGAAUGGUUUGACAAUUACCUUUCCAACAGAACUUUUACGAUCGCUGCACUACAGAAACAGGUCCUCUUGCCAAAGGAGUAUUAGCACUAAUUGCCCUUCUCUUUCCUCAAAAUACCAACACACCAGGAAAAAAAACAAAAUGUUAAGAUUCAUUAACCCCUCUCAUGUGCUAAUGAAAAUUGUUACCAUACAUUUCAAAGAAACAAGUAGUUACCUGUUAAAGUCAGAACGGAUGUUUUUGCUAAAGCGCCUAAUCUUUAACUAUUCCAUGACAAUUACUGCCCAUAUCUUCAAAAUAAACUUACUUUUGAUUCAACCUCUUUCUGUCAGAGGUAACUCAUUUUACUCUUACUCUACAUAAAAAACAGACAAGAUUAUGAUCUGGUCUCCAAACAUAACAAGUAUAUUAUGUGUUUGAGACAUGGAUGACAAGAACUUCACCUCGGGAGCAAAUCUCAAGAGGUGAAUCUUGGCAAACAUCGAGAACACUUAAUAGUACAUUACAAUCAGUGAUCCAGUCAUAUUUUUUUAAUGCACCGAGAGUUACCUGCUCCAUGUACUAUUAGUUAUACAAAAGUAAGAUGAAAAAAAUGUAAUGUGUCAUCUGCAUUACAAAGAAGCCGGUAAAGCGGUGGGGAAGUAGUUGAUGCCCUUGGGUAUUCCCUGUCAAAGAGAAGCAGUUUGAUUCAAAUUAAUGGUUGUAAUGUAGCAGACAGCAGGCAGAACCAGGAGCUGAAACAAAGUCAUUUAAUGUCCUGCUGCACCUGUUUAAUGGCCAUUCCAGACUAAAUGUUAACAGUGCAUUAUUAAGCACCCUUCUAGGUUUUGUUAAGGAUGGGUGCUAAAGUAAUGUUCAACAAGGAAGUUAUUUGACUGUUUUUGGAGUGUAAUCACUGCUCUCCAUACAAUACAUCACUUUUAAGAAAUUGCUAAAAGCUGCAGUGUUAAAUGAUAAUAAAUUCAAAUGUUUUAAAAUGUUGGCUAAUGUACAGGUCUGGUGACUGGUUUUCAUACAAUUUUAACCACAACCAACUGUUUGAUGUACAUCUUAUGCUAGAAGAUAAAACUUUUGUGUAUUUAUUGUAUAUGUUUAAAGCACAUUCUGUAUCUAAACAUAACUAAGGCCCUGUAUCCACACUUUAUCAUCAACCACACCUAAUGACCUCUAACAUAUUAUUCGCCUUUAUAUUCAUUUUAUUUUAGAUGUAAACUUAUUCUCUACUAUAUUUAAAUUUUUUCAGUGUAAAUGCAACCUUUUUAUACCCUGUGUGUACCAACUACAUCAACAUAUAAUUGGUGACAUACCUGCCUGUCAUUUUACACUAUUUUUUCUCCUUCCUUAAACAUUCUGCUUUUAUUUGUAUAUUUUACCACUGCACCUACAGUUACUGUUUUACAGUACACCAGCUUAUUGUAUAUUUUGCCUAUAACAAUUAUUGACAUUAUAGCAAGUUGGAAUAAGCUCUAUGUUUUAAUUAAGUUGUCAUUGUAUACAGGACAGGCUGUUGUUUAUGCUAUUUUUAUUUUUUUUUUUUUUUAAUUUUAUUUAUUUUAACAUUGUUUACUGGGAUACUCCAACUGGAACAGUGCCCAUUUUCAGGGGUGGCCAAGGGAGAAAUGCUCCAGAUGCAUGUCUUUGGAAAGUGGGAGGAAACCCAUUGAAUGCAAGGAGGAUAUGCAGAGU